rnacentral:rRNA from 1 species
UCACCCCUUGGAAGGGGAUGACGAAAGCCGAAAGGCGCUUCUGGAGGGGCGUGCGGCCGAUUAGCUAGUUGGUGUGGUAACGGCGCACCAAGGCGAUGAUCGGUAGCUGGUCUGAGAGGAUGGUCAGCCACACUGGGACUGAGACACGGCCCAGACUCCUACGGGAGGCAGCAGCAGGGAAUUUUGGGCAAUGGGCGAAAGCCUGACCCAGCAACGCCGCGUGGGGGAUGAAGGCUCUCGGGUCGUAAACCCCUUUUGCCGGGGAAGAUAAUGACGGUACCCGGCGAAUAAGCCACGGCUAACUACGUGCCAGCAGCCGCGGUAAUACGUAGGUGGCAAGCGUUGUCCGGUUUAUUGGGCGUAAAGCGCGCGCAAGCCGGUUCGUUAAGUCCGA